UUUUUUUUUUUUGUAACACUUGUAACGGCUUCAAUUAUCUUCAGGUUAUAUUAAUCCAUUCAUUUACUCCUAUUCUCUAACUAAAUCGGCCAUAGCAUCCUCCUCUGUAAUAGACUGCUUCACCUAUCAAUGUCUCCACUGUUUGGGAUGAACAGUCCUACCAAAACCGAAAUCCCAAAUCCCAAAGGAUUUAGGCGGGUGAAGCAGCGGUGGAUCAGGAGGAUAAGAUGGUUGUGCCUCCAAGGAAGGAGCAUGAGGUAGAGAAGAAACAAGAACCGAAGCAUGAACCUGAGCCGGACUUUGGAGAAUAAAGAGAGGAAGAUAAAAGCUUUGAAGGAAAAAGAUGGAGAAUUCGGCAUACAAUGACUUCAAAACACUAUAAAGAAUUACUCAAAGCCAUGGAAAUUAUUGAUGAAUAUAUAUCUUUAUCACAAAUCAUCCUGCUGUAAUCUGGAGAUGGCAAAGUAUGAUGAGUGCAUCAAGGAUUGUGAUAAGGCUGUUGAAAAAGUCUAUGGGGAAGAUGGAAAAAAAGUCUCAAAAGACUGUGAACUUGUGAUUGAGUCUUACAUAAAGCCCUUACGGAGCACCGCAACCUAAACACGUUGAAGAUGCUGAAUGAGGCUGAGAACGUCAAGAAAGAGUUGGCGCAGGAAGAAUAAUUUGAUUGGUGAGGUGGAGCAUGAGAAAGCUAUUUUGGUAAAAAGAGUUAUACUAACACCCUGGUGUGUUUGUAAUACAGGUAAUGAAUUCUUCAAUGAGCAGAAGUAUCAUGAUCUGUGAAACAUCAUACUGCGAAAAAAAAAAAUCAAAAAGACUUAAGGCCAAUUCUAAUCAUCUUAUGUGUGUCACUGUUUUGUAUAAAGGCUCAAUAUUUGAUUGUUUGAAUUAAUUUUUUUGCUUUCAAUUUCAUACAGGCAUACAAUAACCGAGCGGUGUGUUACACAAAACUAGGGGCAGUACCCGAAGGAUUAAACUAUUUGAUUAUUUGAUUUUUUUAAAAAAAAAAUUUUUCCUUUCCUCACUCCUAAAAUUAAAAAAAAAAUGAAUAAAAUCCUCAAUACAUACGUAAAACAAUAAAAUGCAUUGCCCCAUAAGUAAAAACUUUUUCAUUUUCACUCAGUAAGAGACAGAAACGCAUUGACAUGACAUCAUGAGAUCUACUAACAAUAAAAUGUAUUCAUAAAAUCAAUUAUUAGUUCCCGACCCUCAACUCUUAAUUGGCAAGAACUAAUAAUUCAAACUAGAUUGGACUAACAACUAGCAGAUGAAAAAUGAAGAACUAAUAAUUCAAACUAGAUUAAACUAACAACUAGCAGAUGAAAAAUGAAACUAA